rnacentral:rRNA from 1 species
GACGAACGCUGGCGGCGUGCCUAAUACAUGCAAGUCGAACGAGAGCAACCGGUGCUUGCACUGGUCAAUCUAGUGGCGAACGGGUGAGUAACACGUGGGUAACCUGCCCAUCAGAGGGGGAUAACAUCCGGAAACGGAUGCUAAAACCGCGUAGGUCUUCGAACCGCAUGGUUUGAAGAGGAAAAGAGGCGCAAGCUUCUGCUGAUGGAUGGACCCGCGGUGCAUUAGCUAGUUGGUGAGGUAACGGCUCACCAAGGCCGUGAUGCAUAGCCGACCUGAGGGGGUGAUCGGCCACAUUGGGACUGAGACACGGCCCAAACUCCUACGGGAGGCAGCAGUAGGGAAUCUUCCGCAAUGGACGCAAGUCUGACGGAGCAACGCCGCGUGAGUGAAGAAGGUUUUCGGAUCGUAAAACUCUGUUGUUAGAGAAGAACAAGUGCUAGAGUAACUGUUAGCGCCUUGACGGUAUCUAACCAGAAAGCCACGGCUAACUACGUG